rnacentral:snoRNA from 1 species
AUUUAAAAAACAACAGCAACAACAACAACACUUUUGGGUGAAGCAGCAGCAGCAUAUUGUGUUGUUUUGCUUCAAUGGUGGUGUGACAAGG